rfam:Streptomyces albireticuli strain MDJK11, complete genome.
CUUCAGCGAGCCCAGCCACAACGGCUCACCCAAGCGCUCCCGCCCGUACGUCGCCAGCAACGCCCCCGCCUC